rnacentral:rRNA from 1 species
GACGUAGGAGGCGAGCGUUGUCCGGAUUCAUUGGGCGUAAAGAGCGCGCAGGCGGCUUGGUAAGUCGGAUGUGAAAUCCCGAGGCUCAACCUCGGGUCUGCAUCCGAUACUGCCCGGCUAGAGGUAGGUAGGGGAGAUCGGAAUUCCUGGUGUAGCGGUGAAAUGCGCAGAUAUCAGGAGGAACACCGGUGGCGAAGGCGGAUCUCUGGACGGCUAACUGACGCUGAGGCGCGAAGGCCAGGGGAGCAAACGGG